UACGUAGGUGGCAAGCGUUGUCCGGAUUUACUGGGCGUAAAGGGCGUGCAGGCGGUCUGUUAAGUUCAGGGUGAAAGCUCCCGGCUCAACUGGGAGAGGUCCUUGGAUACUGGCAGACUUGAGGGAGGUAGAGGAGAGUGGAAUUCCCGGUGUAGUGGUGAUAUGCGCAGAUAUCAGGAGGAACACCGGUGGCGAAGGCGGUGAUCUGGGCCGACACUGACGCUGUAGAGCGAAAGCGUGGGGAGCGAACAGG
rnacentral:rRNA from 1 species